GCUGUCCCAUGUGGGCAGCUGUUGGGACCUGCCAAGCACUGUGCCUGGUGAUCUCCUUCGGGUUUGAGCCAGUCCAUGGGGAAGAGCCGUCCACCAGGCAGCCUCAGGGAGAGUGGGCGGGUGUCAAGGGAAGCCCGCAGCCCCAGCUGGCCCCCUUGUGUCUGAGCCCCCGUGACUUCCUCUGCCUCUAGGCUAUGCCCACUGGAAGGGCCAAGUGCUGAAUUCAGAUGAGCUCCAGGAGUUGUACGAAGGCCUGAGGCUGAACAACAUGAAUAAAUAUGACUACGUGCUCACAGGUUAUACGAGGGACAAGUCGUUCCUGGCCAUGGUGGUGGACAUUGUGCAGGAGCUGAAGCAGCAGAACCCCAGGCUGGUGUACGUGUGUGAUCCAGUCUUGGGUGACAAGUGGGACGGCGAAGGCUCGAUGUACGUCCCGGAGGAUCUGCUUCCCGUCUACAGAGAAAAAGUGGUGCCGCUCGCAGACAUUAUCACGCCCAACCAGUUUGAGGCCGAGUUACUGAGUGGCCGGAAGAUCCACAGCCAGGAGGAAGCCUUGCAGGUGAUGGACUUGCUGCACUCUAUGGGCCCCGACACCGUGGUCAUCACCAGCUCCGACCUGCCCUCCCCGCGGGGCAGCGACUACCUGAUUGUGCUGGGGAGUCAGAGGAGGAGGAAUCCCACUGGCUCCGUGGUGAUGGAACGCAUCCGGAUGGACAUUCGCAAGGUGGAUGCCGUCUUUGUGGGCACUGGGGACCUGUUUGCUGCCAUGCUCCUGGCGUGGACACACAAGCACCCCAAUAACCUCAAGGUGGCCUGUGAGAAGACCGUGUCUACCUUGCACCACGUUCUGCAGAGGACCAUCCAGUGUGCAAAAGCCCAGGCCGGGGAAGGAGUGAGGCCCAGCCCCAUGCAGCUGGAGCUGCGGAUGGUGCAGAGCAAAAGGGACAUCGAGGACCCAGAGAUCGUCGUGCAGGCCACGGUGCUGUGAGGGCCGCGCCACUCGCCCGUGACACGCAGCGCGUUGGUGUCUCCGUGUUUGUCCCUGUGAAAACAUGUAACGUCUGCCUUA
rnacentral:sRNA from 1 species